rnacentral:lncRNA from 1 species
UCAAAUCUAGCAAAUUUGGCACAAGAGUUUAAGAGUACCAAAAUUAAUAUUAUAAAACAGUUCAAAGGUAUUAGACUGAAAUGCAGAGCUAUAAAUGGGGCACAUUCACCCAAUUCUAAAAUUAAUUUACAGUGGUGAAGGAAUCACAAAAUUUGGAAAAACCUCCAGAAGAAAUCAAAGUAAAUAAGGAGUACUACUUUUUAGUACUACCAUUUAUUAAUUCACUUGACUAAUUAAAGAUGUUC